rnacentral:rRNA from 1 species
AGCAGCCGCGGUAAUUCCAGCUCCAAUAGCGUAUAUUAAAGUUGUUGCAGUUAAAAAGCUCGUAGUUGAAUUUCGGGAUCAUCAGGUUGGUCGUGCCUCUGGUAUGUAGUGAUUUCGAUGGUUCCUCCUUCUUGAAGAACCGUAAUGCCAUUAAUUUGGUGUUGCGGGGAAACAGGACUGUUACUUUAGAAAAAAUUAGAGUGUUUAAAGCAGGCAAUCGCUUGAAUACAUUAGCAUGGAAUAAUGAAAUAGGACGUUCGAUCCUAUUUUGUUGGUUUCUAGGAUUGACGCAAUGAUUAAUAGGGAUAGGUUGGGGGCAUUAGUAUUCAAUUGUCAGAGGUGAAAUUCUUGGAUUUUAUUGAAGACUAACUACUGCGAAAGCAUUUGCCAAGGAUGUCUUCAUUAAUCAAGAACGAAAGUUAGGGGAUCGAAGACGAUCAGAUACCGUCGUAGUCUUAACCAUAAACUAUGCCGACGUAGGGAUCGGAUGAUGUUUAAUUUUUUAUAGUACUCUAGUUAC